CUGCCUUCUCUUUCCCUCCUCACCUCACAAACCACUCUCAUCUCCUCCUCUUCCUCUCCCGUUACGAAGAGGCGACGAGACAAGAGACGAUGGCCAACAUCCGAAGCAAUCUUCUUCUAAGGGAGUUGUGCCACGUCUCCCGGUUGCUGAGGUCGAGCCGGACGAUUCCGGCCGUACCGAUCCGCGUCCACGUCGGGAUCGGCGGUGUCCGCUGCGCCGCCGCGCAAUCCGGCGACGGGGGCAAGAAGGUGUCUGCUCGCCUAUCUAUGAUGCAACAGAUCCUUCAAGAUGCCGAGGAGCGGGCUCUCUCCGCGGGCUCCGAGUCCACCCCAGAGAUCACAUUGGACCAUGUCACUGUUAGUUUUGCAAGAAGCGGGGGACCCGGUGGUCAAAAUGUAAACAAAGUGAACACUAAGGUGGACAUGCGCUUCAAUGUUAAACAAGCACAUUGGCUUAGCGAAAGAGUCAGGGAGAGAAUACUUCAAAUGGAAAAAAAUCGUAUCAACAAGGAUGGGGAGAUUGUAAUUUCAUCAACAAAGACAAGAACACAGAAAGGUAACAUUGAAGAUGCGCUGGAGAAACUGCAGGUACUGAAUCUUUGGUUUCGGCAUGAUUCUUGUGCAAACCUUGCUAUUAUAGAUGCUGCAUCAUAUGUUCCACCGCCUCCUUCAAAAGAGCAAAAGAAGAAGAUAGAAAGAUUGGCUGCUAUUGGAGAGCAGAAGAGGAUGCAGAAUAAAAAAUCUCUCUCACAGAAAAAGGCAAUUAGGAGAAACAAAGAAAGUUGGGACUGAUGCUGAGGUUGAAUUGCGAGAGGUUUCCUAGAGAAGUUGAUCUAUCCUCAUUGUCAUACACUCCAUGGAAGCGACUGGCUGAAAAUAUAACAAGAAACAUGAGCUGUGGUUUGGGAGUCUUUUUUGAUACAAGUUCGAGCUUGACGUAAUUACACCUGAUUCAUCCUGAAUUCGAUCUUAUUUGGGCCUGAACUGAAGCUUCUAAGAUCAAUUGACCGCUUGUGAUUGAGAGGAAAAAAGAAAGUGACAUUUGUGUCUCCAACGAUAUUGAUGCAUGUGACGCCAAUUAGCAUCCAGAAGUCUUUGAGAUUGCAGGACCGGUAGCCUUCUCCAACUUGCCACCUUAUGUUUGAACGUGGAAACCAAGGCUAGGUUCAUCAUAUUUCGUCUGAAAUGAGACAAUUUAAGGCACUUGGGACUACUGGCUGAGAAUUGCCAUGAGAAUUCUAGCCCUGCAUCAGCUGCCAGGGGUAGUUGGCUAAAGCAGCUCUGGCCGUUGACAGCCUGCUUUGAUUCACAUCUUUGUUCCCAUUGCUCUUCAUGUUUUUCUUGUCCUGUCUUGCAAGGAACUCAUUACAUCGGGAUAGCUAUCUGGUUGUUGGGAUAAGCUCCAGUAUCUGCUAUGCUUUACAUCUUCUCCAUCAAGGAUAAUGAAUGCCACCUUUGCGUGUUAAAUCUGCAAGAAGGAAGUAUACGACACUCGGGAAGUUUUGAGGGGUUGGAGUUAUUGAUUCCAUUGUUCUGAUCUCUCAGGGAUACAGAAGAUCGCCUUCUAAGUGGAUUCUGAUCAUCCUUUGAACUCAUAUUUCAGAAGUCUCAGCUUUUUUAGGAGGUCGUUUCAGAACUAGUCUUCAAUGAUUGUAUUUCCACAGUAUUUUUUUUCUGAAGAAAAAAAAGUGCAAUAAGAUGUGAAACGCUCUAAUUUUUCCUCCGCA